UGAGGGAAUCAAACUGAUUCUGAGCCAAAGGCCAGGUGGAACAACUCUGUCUUACAGGCCCUGCAGAAAGAGAUCAGAUCCCGCAGGGCCCUGGUCUCAAGAGACAGAGCAUUCCACCAGGCCGGGGCCAGUGAAGGGCUUUAAAAGUCAAAACCAGCACCUUAAAUCUGACUCUGUACUCCACCGGGAGCCAAUGCAGCUGGAAAAGCACUGGGUGAAUAUGCUCCCAUGGCAGAGACCCUGUGAGGAGCCUCACUGCAGCAUUCUGCACCCGCUGGAGUUUCUGGGACAGCUUCAAGGGCAGCCCCACAUAGAGCAAAUUACAGUAGUCAAGCGUGGAGGUGACCAUCGCAUGGAUCACUUUGGCCAGGGCAGGGCAGGAAAGGUAAGGGACCAACUGUUUGAGGGGGCGAAGGUGGAAAAAUGUCGCCUUGGCUGUUGUUGUAACCUGCGCCUCCAUGGAAAGAGAGGCGUCAAGGAUUACACCCAAACUCUUAACAGAACGCAAUGGCACUAAUUGGGUCCCCGCAAGAGAAGGGAGUUGGUCCCUCAUCCCCAUACCAUACCGAGCCAGCCAGAGGACCUCUGUCUUUGAAGGAUUUAGUUUCAGUCGUCUCCCACGAAACCAUCCAGCCACAGCUUCCAAACAUCUGGUCAGUGUGUCAGGGAUUGAGUUGGUAUGGCCAUCCAUCAGCAGAUAGAGCUGCGUGUCAUCAGCAUAUUGGUGACAACCCAGCCCAAAGCUUCAGAUAAUCUGGGCAAGGGGGCACAUAAAGAUGUUUAAAAGAAUCGGGGAGAGGAUUGAGCCCCGUGGCAUUCCACACACCAAAGGGUGGUGCGACGACAACUCCCUCCCUAGUGCCACCCUCUGUCCCCGACCAGAGAUAAAAGAGCACAGCCAUUUAUGGGCUAUGCCCUGUAUCCCCACAUCAGCGAGGCGGUGGUCCAAAAGAUCAUGAUCGACCAUGUCAAAGGCUGCUGACAAAUCUCAGAGAAUCAGCAGUCCCGACCCGCCUCGAUCCAGUUGUCUGCGGAGAUCAUCUGUUAGGGUGACCAGAGCCGUCUCGGUCCCAAAACCAGGACGGAAUCCAGACUGAAAUGGAUCUAAAGCCCAUGUUUCCUCCAGAAACCUACCAAGCUGUUCAAUUGCCUUACCCAGAUAUGGGAGAUUUGAAACUGGGUGGUAAUUGGAUAGAUCUAAAGGAUCUAGUGAAGUUUUCUUUAAGAGCGGACACACCAUUGCUUCCUUCAGCUCCCCUGGGAAUAUCCCUGUGUUAAGGGACAAAUUGAUAAUUUCAACCAGGGGGGUCCGCGCAAUAUCUGGGCACGCCCUAAUCAGCCAAGACGGGCACAGAUCGAGGAGCCAGGUGGUGGGCCUACCAGCUUGGAGGAGUCUAUCCACAUCUGCAGGGAGUAUCCGAUCGAAAUGUUCUAACACUGGACCCGAAGACAGUUGAGGGGCCUCCAGUUCUCUCACAGUAUCUAAAUUGGCAGGGAGGUCACUGAAGUGAAGGCACGAGACAGGUGUUGAUCAUCAUGUGAGCUGCGCACAGGUGAUCUGAAGCGAGCUACCACCAUUCCUGUGGAGCCUCCUUUUAUUGAGACAAAUAUGCAAGCUAGGCAGAUACAUGUCUGGGCAUUGACCUUUACACAUCUUCCGUCCCGAGAUCGUGGGGUGGUACAAAGCUAUUUUGGCACCUGUUCCACAGCGUCAUUUUCCCCUUGCACAGUGUAUGACGUAGGAGACAAAAGGUCUCAGGGAAAAAGUUACAGACAGGACACCGCUGACUUCUGAGACCGCAAAAGGUCAGACACAGGGGACGAUGUUCCGACAGCCGUGGCUUGUCUGAGGGGGGCUUUUCCCUGCACCCCAAGGUCAUGCGUGCAGGCAGAUUGUGGCUGCCUGCUGGCGGGGAAGUGUGCUCCCUCCGGAACCCACUCCCCGCUCCGCGAUAUCCCUACAGGUCACGGCCGAGCAACAGGACUUUCUCCGCAGAAAAGCUCGCAAAUGCCUCACAGCUGGGGGUUGAAUUUGUGCUUAAAUUUGGUUGUCCUGCUAAGGAUGUUAUUGACCUAAUUAUUCUAAAAAGUUGUGCCAGGGGAGAGCUAGCGGAUGCAAUGGAAGCUGCGAAGUGAGAUUUCUUAGCAGCUUUCAUAGCCAUCUCAUAGGCUUUCAUAAGCGUCCUAUAAGAUGUUCUUGAAGCUCCGUUACGAGUCCAUCGCCAUACUCGCUCUAGCCGUCUGAGAUCCCGCUUCAUUUUCCGGAGCUCCACAGUAGACCAAGGGGCCCGGUUUCGACGGGGUCGCAGAGGGCGCUUAGGCGCAAUCUCAUCAAUGGCCAUCAAGAGCCAGUUAUUCCAGUCCUCGACAAGGUCAUCUAAUGAGUCGCCAGGAGGAGCAGGGUCCCUCGAGGCCAGAAGGAAUCUAUCAGGAUCCAUCAGUCUUUGCAGUUGAGCCCAAAUAGGCUCGCCACCUGAGCAGGGGAGGAGUGGGAAGUCAAUCUGGGCUUUCAGAGCGUAGUGAUCAGACCAUGGCACUUCCACAGGGGGGAGCAUGAUCACAUCUAUGCCAGCACCAAAGAUCAAAUCCAGUGUGUGGCCUGCUUGAUGGGUCGGGCCCAUAACAAACUGGGAGAGCCCCAGUGUUGCCAUGGAAGUCACUAGGUCCAGAGCCUGUGAGGAGGGGGCAUCAUCGGCAUGGACAUUGAAGUCUCCCAAAACCAAUAGGUUUGGGAACUCCAAGGCCCAGCCUGCCGCCACCUCCAGCAGGUCUGACAGGGUGGCUGCCAGUGCGCUAGCUGGUCGGAACACCAGCCAGACAGCCAAGUUCUCCUCAGUGCCCCACAUGAGACCAACACAUUCAAUGCCGGAGAUCGCCGGUGGUGGCAGAGCCCUGAAAAGCAAUCCUCCCGGAUUGACAAUGCUACUCCUACCCCCCUGACCCAGAGUCUGCGAUUGAUGGAGGACAGAGAAACCUGGAGGUGUUAUCUCAUGUAGGGAGAUUACUUCACCUUCCCAUACCCAGGUCUCUGUCACGCGAGCCAGGUCAAUCCCCUGCGAGACAAAAAAGUUACAAAUGGUGGCGGUUUUAUUGCCUAUGGACCUGGCAUUGCACAACACCAAUGCCGGAGGUGGGUAAUCCCUGCUCGCCCUUACCUUUCCCUUGGGAUGGGGCAUAGAUUGGAAGGGAUUCGAGCAUCACUGCAUCUCAUAACCCUUCGCCGAUAGUGAUAUUUAGCCCCACCGCCAUUCUUCCCUAGCCCUUCAAUAGUGGGAAUCCCAGACCCCAUACUAGCCUCCCCAAUAGAGGGGUAAGAUCUCCUCACUAACAAGUCAUCUCUGGGCCAGGACUCUUGGGUCAGAAUGGUAUGGGGAAGAGGUGAAUGUUCGAUAGGGUAAUUAUCCCUAGAAGAUAAACCCAACCAACCGCAACCUGAGCAAAGAAGAUGUUCAGUUCCUCUGCCAAUGAGGUAUCAGUCUUAACCAUGUUCCUUGUAUUGUCCUUGUAGUUGGUUAGGUGCUGCAGUCGUUGCCACACUUGUUUCAUGAUGUUAUCGGCUAAAUAUUUUUCCACCUUCAGCUUAUACUGUUGUUUUGCUGCCAUAAUGCCUUUUUGAGAUUUAUUCUUGCCUCUCUGUAUAUGUCUAUAUUCCCUGUCUUAAAGGCAGAAUCCCGGAUUUUCAGGAGUGUUCUUACUUCAGGAGUCAUCCAUGGUUUACAGUUCCCAUAGAGUCUAAUGGAUCUCUGCGAUGUUACAUUAUAGAUGCACACUUUAAUAUAGGAGAGUACUGUAUAGCAUGGGUGUAUCUAUGCAGAUCUUGAUGUUUAAACACAAGUACAUUAAUCUGGCAAUGUAUUUGCUAUUCACCCGGUUGGAAAAAUGGUUUCAAUGUAGCUCAGAUCCUACUGAUAACUGAGGUCCCUAUCAAGCAGCACCAGUUUCCUGGUUCUUCCUUGCUGUUCAAGAAAUUCUGUACAGUACAUUAACCUCACAAUGCAGUCAAGAUUCACUGGAUUGGAAAUAUGGUUUCAUACCCCCAGAAGCACCCAGGGAACCAUCAUAGCUACUGAUCAAAGUCUCUUCCAUCUCCUUUUAAAAAUAAUUUAAGCCAUCAACCGUCUCCGUUUUCCUGUUAGUCCUCUUUCUUCCACCCACCUUUCCCAUGUAUUAAAAAGUACCAGUUGCAACCAGAACCAGGAAUAAGCAUGGAGACACAACUCAAUGGACUGAACCAGGGCCACAUUUCACAUACAUGUUUUCCACAAUAUUACAGCCACUUUCUAGGGACAGAAAAUUGUAACAUCAAAGGUAGAAGCAUGGGUGUCCACAGAAAUUCUUACAGAGAGAAAGAAAGUAAAAGGUUGAAGGGGCAGGCUUGUUUCUCUCACACAGAGAAAUGAGGAAGAUAGAGAAUGUACAUUUUGCCUUAUAGCUCAGGUUCUCCUAACCUGUGUAUGCGGUGUUAGGGGAGGGUAGUACCUCUGGCAGGGGAGAUAUUGUUCUCCCCCUGUAGUAGUUCUUCAACAUUUGAUCCCCAACCUGCGCUCAACUCUACCUGUGGUUCCUAGAAGCUGUCUACUAGCCAUUUAACCAGGUGAGGGUAGCUGAUGGGUCUCAAAUCCUGAGUGAAUUAGGGACUUGUCUGUCUCCCGCGAAUGUAGGCAAGCUUCAAUGAAUUGAGCGGACAAGACAAAUACUGGGUCCAACAGUCAAGAAGGCAGUUUCUGCACAUGCGACAGCUAGACUGGUGACUGGGAGUGGUCGCCGAGACCAUAUAGCACCAGUCCUAAAAGACCUACAUUGGCCCCCAGUACAUUUCCAAGCACGAUUCAAAGUGUUGGUGCUGACCUUUAAAGCCCUAAACGGCUUUGGCCCAGUAUACCUGAAGGAGCAUCUCCACCCCCAUCGUUCAGCCUGAACACUGAGGUCCAGCUCCGAGGGCCUUCUGGUGGUUCCCUCACUGCAAGAAGUGAGGUUACAGGGAACCAGGCAGAGACCCUUCUUGGUAGCGUCGCCUGCCCUGUGGAACGCCCUCCCAUCAGAUGUCAAGGAAAUACUACCUGAUUUUUAGAAGACAUCAAAAGGCAGCUCUGUUUAGAUAAGUUUUUAACGUCUGGUGUUUUAUCGGCCCCCCCCCCCAUGUUUUCAAUUAUCAUUACAGUGGUACCUCAGGUUACAUAUGCUUCAGGUUACAUAUGCUUCAGGUUACAGACUCCCCUAACACAGAAAUAGUACCUUGGGUUAAGAAUUUUGCAGAAAUCGUGCUCAGGCCUCGCAGCGGCAGCAGGAGGCCCCAUUAACUAAAGUGGAGCUUCAGGUAAAGAACAGUUUCAGGUUAAGAACAGACCUCCAGAACGAAUUAAGUACUUAACCCGAGGUACCACUGUAAUUCUUUUGGGAGCCACCCAGAGUGGUUGGUGAAACCCAGCCACAUAGGUGGGGUAUAAAUAAAUAAAUUAACAUUAUUAUCAUCAUCAUUAUCAUCAUCAUUCUGUUGCUGAAGCUCAUGUCCUGAUCUUGGACUCUUGGGCUUUGACUCUUGGGUGGUCCCACCAUCCUUUCACCAGUGAUAACUUUUUUGGGGGUGGAGGGGAAUAACUCUCUUGUUCAGGAAAGAUUUGCCCCUUACUUCCAAGAAAGAGUCUCUGUCGUCAUGUUCUGUUUGCAAGCAUUGCAUAUAUUUUGAUUGUGUAUGGAGUGAGUGGAUGCAGCUGAUACGCUUCACAGCAUUAUUUAAGUAGCAAGAGAGCCCCUCCUCCAUCCAAUCUUUUCUUAUACCUCUUUGAUCUCAAUGCAAUAAAAAAAAAGAAUGUUCCUCCUAGAGGUAGUUAGUUGCCCAGGCAAGAGCAUGAUGUGACCCAUGAGAGCAGCCAGAUCACCAGACCGUUCAACGGUGAUGGGAUUAAAAUCAGGCCAAAAAUUUCUUGACAGCAGCAGGCAGGGCAAGGGUUGGCAUGGCAUUGGGUCAAAGGAUCAGUACUUCAUCCCACAAGCUCCAUGUUGAUGGAAUGGUUCCGCUGGGUUUGAACCCCUCCAAAGCAGAACAAUGGGAGUCAGCCAGUGUUGAAGUUUGCUGUGGUGCAAGCCAGGCAAGCGAGGUCUCACUGGAAGACCAGGGUGCAGACUCCAAGCAAGCAGAUACCGAACCCACGCUUGGGUUUGCUGUGGUCAAUCCACCCCUCAGACCCCUUAUAGGUUCUUCCCUAUACUAUGUUGAUCCUACCCAAUGCCAUUUCCCCCCUCACACAAACAAUGUUCUUCCACCUAACAAAGGAAAGCCAUAAUUUCACUGAGGGAAAGGCAAAACAAUAACCAAGUGUCUCAGCUUUUGAGAGAGAAAAUCAUUUCUGGCCCUGUCAACGAACAACCGAAAAUUGCUCUGUAAAGGCUCUAAUUUGAGGAUGGGUGAGAGGGAAGUUCUCAAAGCAAAAUAAUUGUGAGCUCCAGGGGAAGCAGUCCUACAUAGGAUUUCCCUUCCCUCCACAGCAAAGGCUCAUGCACAGGGCUGAAUUUAGAUUUCAUGAGGCCCUAAGCUAAUGAAGGUCCUGGGGCCCUUUAUAUGUCGAGCUUUCCUUUGUCAACAACAAAUUGUCGCUGUUUUUGUGUUGAAUAUAUGCUAUAUGGUAAUUUAUGGAACUAAUAUGGAGCCUACCCAACACAAAACACUGUUGCUGCAUGAAGGGUUUAUUUUUAUAUAUAAUAUCUUAUAUACAGUGGUACCUCGGGUUACAUAUGCUUCAGGUUACAUACGCUUCAGGUUACAGACUCCACUAACCCAGAAAUAGUACCUCAGGUUAAGAACUUUGCUUCAGGAUGACAACAGAAAUCGUGCUCUGGCGGCGCAGGAGCAGCAGGAGGCCCCAUUAGCUAAAGUGGUGCUUCAGGUUAAGAACAGUUUCAGGUUAAGAACAGACCUCCAGAACGAAUUAAGUUCUUAACCCGAGGUAUGUUUCCGAGCACGAUUCAAAGUGUUGGUGCUGACCUUUAAAGCCCUAAACGGCCUCGGUCCUGUAUACCUGAAGGAGCGUCUCCACCCCCAUCGUUCAGCUCGGACACUGAGAUCCAGCGCCGAGGGCCUUCUGGCGGUUCCCUCAUUGUGAGAAGUGAGGCUACAGGGAACCAGACAGAGGGCUUUCACAGAAGUGGCACCCGCCCUGUGGAACGCCCUCCCAUCAGAUGUCAAAGAGACAAACAACUACCUGACAUUCAGAAGACAUCUUAAGGCAGCCCUGUUCAAGGAAGUUUUUAAUAUGCAACGCUGUACUGUUUUUAACACUUGAUUGGGAGCCACCCAGAGUGGCUGGGGAAACUCACCCAGAUGGGCGGGGUAUAAAUAAUAAAUUAUUAUUAUUAUUAUUAUUAUUAUUAUUAUUAUUACCACUGUAUUGGAAAUGUACAUCCAGAUUUUCCCCCUUUAAUUUUUUUGGGGGCCCCCAAGAAAGUGGGGCCCUAAGCUAUGGCUUGUUUAGCUUAUAUGUAAAUCUGGCAUUGCUCAUGGGACAGCUUUUUCCCAUAAGCCCAUUACACAGAGGAGAUUUUGCUGCAAUUUAUGGGCCACAGUGCCAUCAGGCAAGGUUGCCCCAUGCUUACUGGGCAUGGAAUGGGGCUUUUAAAAGAAAUAAGUAAAAUGAGCAGAAAGGGAAGAAGCACACACAGAUACUUUCGCUGCAGACAGGUCCAAUUUUAUUCUGCAUUCCAAUGAGCAGGAGUGUAAGAGCAAAUGUAGAUACCUCCUUCAGCCUAUUGCUCUGUGAGAGAAUAGGAAUAAAAAGAAGAAGAAAGACAAAGUCAAAUUUAACCUCUGGCCCUUGAACAACCGCACUACUCCAUCUGUUGCUGCUUUGUGGUGUUAUAUUUAUAAAAUAAAGUAUUAUUGAUAUUGAUAUUAUAAUUCACAACAACAAAUGCAGGAACAACCACCUGCUGGACCUGUCUGCCUUGACAAUAUCUGGGGCGAGUGUAAUGUGUGUGCAAGCCACCAGCAAGAAUAUUUCAAACACACCAUCUUCAAUUCACCUGCAAGCGAAUUAAUACGUUAAAUACCAAGUAUUUUUCAUAGAAUUAUAGAAUUGAACAGCUGGGGGACGCCAAGGGUCAUCAGGUCUCCUGCCCACCCCAAAGAGAGGUGCCUCACCAUGCCACCCCACAGGGGCCUAGGAAGAGGAUGCCCCCAGCCCUAGUGUCCCAACAGAGAGUGGCCAAAGGUGAACAUGAGGCCAGCACCUUAUUCACCUUGGGAGGCAGCAGCUGGUGCCACCAGGCCUGUGUGGCAGAAUGGCUCCCCUUUGGCACCGGCCACUCAGCUACCAGACAAGGACAAGAAAGGCCAGCGUGGCACCUGCCUGUCUGCCCAGCCUCCCACUUGUCUGCCCUUUCCCAACACCAAGGGCUGGCAAACUGGCUGGCUGGCUGGGCUCCCUCACCCACUUGUGUACUCUGAGGCCACCUCAGCUCUUGACACCCAGCACCCCCUGGCUAAUACUCCCCAAGCAUCACCCUUUGGAAACAACCAUCCAAGCUGGACCAGAACCACCACAAAUCAGUGCCACCCACCCCCAACUCAGACUGUCCCUUCAGAAGCAUACCAUGCUCAGUGGUAUCAAAAGACCCUGAGAGGUUGAGGAGAAUGAACAAGGACACAUUUCCCCUGUCUCUCUCCUGAGAGAUUUUCUGUGCCAAAGCCAGGUCUCAACCGCAAUUGAAAUGGAUCUAGAAAAUCAUUUCCCUCCAAGAUCGUCUGGAUCUGGUCCAUGAUCAUUUACUCAAGAACAUUGCAUAAUAAAGAGAGACCAGCAACUAGCCAGUAAUUACUUAGAUCUUUUGAAUCUAGGGAGGGCUUUUGAACUUGUGGUCUUACCACUGUCUCCUUCAACUCCCUGGUUUCCCAACACAAGUCAAUAGGAUUUCCAAAAUUUUCAUUUCAUGGAUACAGGAUGGGCUGGGUUGGUCCAGAAUCUGGCACAAUCUAAAUUACAAACUGGGCCAGAAAUCAGAUCCAGGUAUCUGUUCACAGCCAUACUAAGCAUUUUUUAAAAUAGGAUCUUUAUUCUUACCAGAAUAACAGCAACGGAUGUCUUUACCACAACUUCCAAUGUCUGAAUAGAUGAGAGGACAUUCCUUCAUUACACAGUAUGCGGGCACAGCACCAUACAUGCACGAAUUUAGGUCUGACACAUCAGUGAAUCCUGUAGUCACAGAGCAACAAAUGACCUUUAUCUGCCUCUCCACCUACAUGAUACUUCAAGCUGGAUGGUUAGGAAAAUAGAAUCUAGUAAAUAACACUAUAAGUUAAAAUAUAUACUAUAUUUUUCGCUCUAUAAGACGCACCAGACCAUAAGAUGCACCUAGUUUUUGGAGGAGGAAAACAAGAAAAAAAAAAUUCUGAAUCUCAGAAGCCAGAACAACAAGAGGGAUCGCUGCGCAGUGAAAGAAAAGAAAUACAACAGACUCCUUCUUGCUGUACUGAAACCCAACUUUAAGCUACCACAAUCCCCACACAAACCUGCCGCUGGUACCCAGUGUACUCAGGCCUCUGCCAUUGUUGAAAAUUGCAUGACAUGUGCAUUUAACCGGCAUGGUUUCAGUUGUAAAGGACAAGGUGAGGAUGCUGUUGUGAGAUGUCACAGGAAGUCAGUUUAUCCUGUGACACCAUAUAAGAGCAUCCCUACCAGUUCCAGAGCUGCAUGAUGAUAGGCCUUUGCUUAAAGCUAAGUGGUUACUUCGCAACAAGUAAACCCAAGCAGACCAGUGUAAAAAGAGCUUUUGAGCUCUUCACCUUGCUUCCCUGGAAAGGCAUUUUCAGCCUGCCAUGUGUCGGGUUCUCCCCACUUCAUAAGCCACCUUAUGAAAGGCAGGUUAGGUAGCAGGUUAAGAUAACCUAAUUUUGUCUAUAUGCAAAAUUUUGCACAUGUGCUUUACCCUUGGAAGCAAACACCUACAUGAGGUGCAGAGCUACUGCAUAUGGAAAUUGGAAAGGUGGAACUUGGAAACAAAAAUGGAAGAGGACGAAGAAUCUGGGAUAUGUUUUGGCCCUAUACGGUGAUAUUAUUCAUUCCUCUCCUCAAGUAAUUUAUUGCCUGGAUUGGGAAUGACCAGCGGAGCAAGCACAACAUUGAAAAACUAGAUGGUCUUCAUAGCUCUGAGAAGGUCAAGGUGGAUGCUCCUUGUACCCCAACCUGAGACGUAAUGAAGAGGCAAUGCGCACCCUUCUAGGGAUUACAAAAUCUCCAGUGAUCAGAGCCCUAGGCAUUACACAAUGAAUUACAAAAUGCCUUCCCUGUGUUACCCUUCCAGAGGCCAUGGUAUUCCAGAGAGAGGAAAUUGUGGCAGAGUACAUUAAUCUGGCAAUGCAUUCAUGAUUCACCCAGUUGGAAAUAUGGUUUCAAUGUGGUUCAGAUCCCACUAAUAACCAAGAUCCUUGUCAAGCAACACUGAUUUGCUGGUUUUUCCUUGCUGUUCAAGAAGUUCUGUACAGUACAUUAACCUCAUGAUGCAUUCAAGAUUCACUGAAUUGGAAAAAUGGUAUCAUAUCCCCUGAAGCAUUACUUAGCCAUCAUAGCCACUGAUCCAUGUUUCAUCCCUUGUGGGUUCCACAGCUGCCCCCCCCCUUCUCUGGAUCCAACCAGUCCAUGAGAGAUAUACACUUCUGGGAGAAGAAUUGACAGAUUAACUCUCUCUCUAAGAGUUCUCACUUGAUAGAAAAUAAUUACAUUGUGAUUGAUGAUAGACAUAUGACCUGAAUAUUAAAUCAGCUUGUAGAUAUGAGUGAAUAGGGAGAAUGCCCACCGUGGGGUGCAUCGCCAAGAGGUGGACUAGGCCUUGUAACAGAGGACCAAGAGAACCAAGAACCAUUAUUAUUAUUAAUUAACUUGGUUUUGUUGUUGUUUAGUCGUGUCCGACUCUUCGUGACCCCAUGGGCCAGAGCAUGCCAGGCACUCCUGUCUUCCAUUGCCUUCCGCAGUUUGGUCAAACUCAUGCUAGUAGCUUCGAGAACACUGUCCAACCAUCUCGUCCUCUGUUGUCCCCUUCUCCUUGUGCCCUCCAUCUUUUCCAACAUCAGGGUCUUUUCCAGGGAGCCUUCUCUUCUCAUGAGGUGGCCAAAGUAUUGGAGCCUCAGCUUCAGGAUCUGUCCUUCCAGUCAGCACUCAGGGCUGAUUUCCUUCAGAAUGGAGAGGUUUGAUCUUCUUGCAGUUCAUGGGACUCUCAAGAGUCUCCUCCAGCACCAUAAUUCAAAAGCAUCAAUUCUUCGGCGAUCAGCCUUCUUUAUGGGCCAGCUCUCACUUCCAUACAUUACUACUGAGAAAACCAUAGCUUUAACUAUACGGACCUUUGUUGGCAAGGUGAUGUCUCUGCUUUUUAAGAUGCUGUCUAGGUUUGUCAUUACUUUCCUCCCAAGAAGCAGGGGUCUUUUAAUUUCAUGACUGCAGUCACCAUCAUGGAGCCCAAGAAAGUAAAAUCUCUCAUUGCCUCCAUUUCUUCCCCUUCUAUUUGCCAGGAGGUGAUGGGACCACUGGCCAUGAUCUUGGAUUUUUGAUGUUGAGCUUCAGACCAUAUUUUGCACUUUCCUUUUUCACCCUCAUUAAAAGAUUAUUUAAUUCCUCCUCACUUUCUGCCAUCAAGGUCAUAUGUGUCAUCUGCAUAUCUGAGGUUGUUGAUAUUUCUUAUGGCGAUCUUAUUUCUGGCUUGGGAUUCAUCCAGCCCAGCCUUUCGCAUGGUGAAUUCUGCAUAUAAGUUAAAUAAGCAGGGAGACAAUAUACAGCCUUGCCGUACUCCUUUCCCAAAUUUGAACCAAUCAGUUGUUCCAUAUCCAGUUCUAACUCAUAGAGAUUUCUCAGGAGACAGAUGAGGUGAUCAGGAACUCCCAUUUCUUUAAGAACUUGACAUAGUUUGCUAUGGUUGACACAGUCAAAGGCUUUUGCAUAGUCAAUGAAGCAGAAGUAGAUGUUUUUCUGGAACUCUCUAGCUUUCUCCAUAAUCCAGCGCAUGUUUGCAAUUUGGUCUCUGGUUCCUCUGCCCCUUCGAAAUCCAGCUUGCACUUCUGGGAGUUCUUGGUCCACAUACUGCUUAAGCCUGCCUUGUAGAAUUUUAAGCAUAACCUUGCUAGCGUGUAAAAUGAGUGCAAUUGUGUGGUAGUUGGAGCAUUCUUUGACACUGCCCUUCUUUGGGAUUGGGAUGUAGACUGAUCUUCUCCAAUCUGUUAGUCAAUUUAUUUUGCUCUAGGCAACCCAAUGCAACUUGCAAGAUCUAUAGUAGGGAGCAGAUUCAGCCAUGCAGAGGGAGCGUGUGCUGGUAAGAUCAACAUUCCUGCAAGGCACAGGGAUCCCAUGCGUGAGCAGACCAUAUCUCGAAUUUACUAAUUUGGGGAGUGGUUAUGGGAAUUUAUUGGAGCAAUGUCAUAGUUGCCAUGCAGAGUUGAACCCCUUGUCCUGAUCUUGGAUUAGGUAUGGAGUGAGCUGAUGCAGCUGAUAUGCUUCACAGAAUCAUUGAAGUAGCAGGAUAGUCCAUUCUCCAUCCAAGCUUUCCUUAUACCUUAUAACGUUAUUUGUUCUCAAUGCAAAACAUGAUUGUCCCUUAGCUAGAUGGUUAGUUAUAAGAGCAAUAAGUAAAAUGAGUAGAAAGGGAAGAAGCACACACAGACACUUUCAACUGCAGAAAAGUCCAAUUUUAUUCUGCCCAGAAGGGUAUUUUGUAAUACCCUUCUGGGCAAUACAAAAUCUUCAGUGGUUGGAGCCCUAGGCAAUAUACAUUGAAUUAUACAUUACUUCCCCUCACACUAAGAGAAACCCAUUGGGCUAUAUGCCCUGAAUGCAAUGGGUACAAGUUGAAAUCUCAUAAGUUUUGCUACAUGGGAAGAAAAUGGGAACAAUUCUCCAGAGCAGGAGAAAACAAGCUUGUUCCCUCUUCCAUAUGACAGCCCUUGAUAUAUUUGAAGAUGGCUAUCAUAUCUCCUUUAAGUUUCCUCUUUUCCAGCCUAAACAUACACAGCUCCUUCAACCGGUUAUUGUAAGGCUUUGUCCCAGAUGCUUGAUUACCUUGGUCACCCUUCUCUGACAAAGGCAGAAUAGAGUGGAUGAUAUACUUCUGAUGAGGCCUAAAAUAGCAUUAGUUUCUUUGCUGUUGCAUCACACAGUUGACUCAUGUUAAGCUUAUGGUCCACACAUAAGCCCCUCCCCGGGGCUUGCACAUGGAAGAUGGAACAAGCUUGUUUUCUCCUGCUCUGGAAGAUAGGACUCGAACCAAUGGCUUCGAGUUACAAAAAAAGAGAUUCUGACUAAACAUCAGGAAGAACUUUGUGACAGUAAGAGCUGUUGGACAGUGGAACGGUCUCCCUCAGAAAGUUGUGGAUUCUCCUUACAGGGCGGAGGUUCACUGGCCAUCAGUCAUGGAUGCGUUAGCUGAGAUUCCUGCAUUGCAGGAGGUUGGACUAGAUGACCCUUGGUGUACCUUCCAACUCUGUGAUUCUAUUAUUCUGAUUUCUGACAAUAUUACCCAAUAGAGUUGUUUCAUUUGGCAUACUGCUCGUCAUGUCAAAGGUGGUGGAGAGGUCUUUGGAGUACUCAGUGGCAGACUGUGAGUGCAUUGCAUGACACUUCAAGGAUGAAAUCACUUAGCAAGCCAUGACCAAUGUUUCAUCUGAUUGGGGUACAAGGCACAUCGAAACAAUAUUUCCAGCCCAGUGAAUCCUCGAAUACCUGGUCAGAUUAAUGUACUGUGUGUUAACUUCCUCUCUCUUACACACCAUGUUCUCUUGAGAGUUUCUUCUGCCAACUGCAUCACAACAGAAAGAUUAAUGAACAGAGCUGACAUGUCAGUAUAUCACAGAGCCCUGUAAAUAAGCAGAGACUUGGCAUUUGAGAAGCUGCAGAACAGUCACAGAGCUCUUUUCCAUUAUUGCUGUCUAACCUGAGAUCCCUUUUGAGCAUCAGCUAUGAAGGUUCAAUGGCUUUUCCUUGCUGUCUUUUCAGGGCUAUGCCUGGUUUCUGCUGGUAAGACAUACAUUUGUUUUUGAAACAUUCAGACAUAACUUAUAGGAUGGGGUGGUCAAGAGGUGGUCCUCCAGAGCUUAGAGGACAUCAACACUCAUCAUCCCCAUCAGCAUUGUCAAUGACCAGGGAUGAUGGGACAAAAUGUAGAGGGCUAAUCAUUAGCCAGCAAUGUUGUUGUUGUUUAGUUGUUUAGUCAUAUCCGACUCUUCAUGACCCCAUGGACCAGAGCAGGCCAGGCUCUCCUGUCUUCCACUGCCUCCUGCAGUUUGGUCAAACUCAUGCUGGUAGCUUUGAGAACACUAUCCAACCAUCUCGUCCUCUGUUGUCCCCUUCUCCUUGUGCCCUCCAUCUUUUCCAACAUCAGGGUCUUUUCCAGGGAGCCUUCUCUGCCCAUGAGGUGGCCAAAGUAUUGGAGCCUCAGCUUCAGGAUCUGUCCUUCCAGUCAGCACUCAGGGCUGAUUUCCUUCAGAAUGGAGAGGUUUGUUCUUCUUGCAGUCCAUGGGACUCUCAAGAGUCUCCUCCAGCACCAUAAUUCAAAAGCAUCGAUUCUUCAGCGAUCAGCCUUCUUUAUGGUCCAGCUCUCACUUCCAUACAUCACUACUGGGAAAACCAUAGCUUUAACUAUAUGGACCUUUGUUGGCAACAAUGUCUCUGCUUUUUAGCCAGCCAUGAUACAGAUGUUUAAAGCAAUGGGCUUGAAGGAGUGACAAGUUCACAUUUGGGGAGUAAUCUAUCCAUUAUGUUGAGUUCCAUACCUCAUUCUGCUACAUUUAGUAUUCAAUGUAUAUCAUCUCUCUGUGGGGGCUUCUCUCUACCAUUAUAGCUAACAGCCCCUGAUAGAUUGAUUACUAAGAGACAGCAUGGGUUUCUCAAAAAGAAGCCAUGCCAGAUUAAUAUUAUUUCUAUAGAGAGUUUCACGCUUGGUGGAUCAGGGGAAUGCUAUGUCAUAGUAUAUCUUGAUUUCAGCAAGGCUUUUGAUGGCUUUCUGCAUGAUAUUCUUGUGGAGAAGCUGGUAAGAUGAGGUUCCCCAUCGUCCUAGAAGAAAGUGACAAGUCAGGUUCUGCAGGGUUCUCUCCUGAGCCUGUUAUUGUACAAUGUCUUUGUGAACAACUUGGAUGAAGGAACUGAGGGGAUGCUCAACAAAUUUGCAAUUGACACCAAACUGGGAGGAUAACUAAUGCUGCAGAAGACAGAAUCAAGAUUCAAUAUGGCCAUAACAGAUUGGGACAAGUGUAAGGUUCUACUGUUAGGGAGGAAUGAUCAACUGCACCAAUAUCAGAUGAGGGGCACAUGGUUUGUCAGUAGUACAUGCGGAAAGAAUCUAGGGAUCUUAGUAGACCACAAGAUAAACAUGAGUCAGUAGUGUGAUGCAGUGGUAUAACAUAAUGUUAUUCCAGGCUGCAUUAACAGAAGUAUAGUGUCCAGAUCAAGGGAACUAAGAGUGCCGCUCUAUUCUGACUUGGUCAGACCCCAGCUGGUGUACUAUGUCCAGUUCUGGUCGCCACAGUUUAAGAAGGAUAUUGACAAGCUGGAACCUGUGCAGAGAAGGGUGACCAAGGUGAUCCGUGGUCUGCAAAGCAAGCCUUAUGAGGAACGGUUGUAGGAGUUUGGUAUGUUUAACCUGGUAAAGAAGACUGAGUGGAGAUAUGAUAGCUAUUCUUCCACCACAGGCAGUGCUUAGGCAUCAUUUAUAAGAGAGCUGAAUAAAUGAGAGGACUUUUAGCCUUACAGAAGACACAGAACUGUCACAGAGUUCUGUUGUCAUUUUCCUUUCUGGCAGUCUAACUUGAGAUCUUUGUCAAGUGUCAGCUAUGAAUGUUUGUUGGCUUUCCCUUGUGGUCCUUUCAGGGGUAUUCCUGCUUUCUGCAGGGAAGAAAAGUAAGACAUAACCAAAUUUGAAAUAUUUAGAUAUGAAAUAUUGACUGGGAUGGUCAAGAUGUGGCCCUGCAGAGCUUAGUGGACUCCUGUCAUCCGCACUACCAUUGACAAUGCACAGGGAUGAUGGGGCAAAAUCAAGAGGGCUACACUUUAGCUAACCAUGCUGCAGGUGUUUAAAACAACGGGCCUGAAGGAGGGACAAAUCCACAAUUUGGACAUGAUCCAUUUGUUAUCCUUCACUCUAUGCCACUCAUCGCCCUGCAAAAGAGCAGGCACAGAGGAAGGAGGAGGAGGAUUCCUACAGGAGGGGGGAGAAGCAGUUAGUCGAAGGAAAGGCUCAGAUAGUGACACAGACACAGAAAUAGGGAGAGGGAAUCACCCCUCAUGAGAUGAGCUGAGAAGUGUGAAAAGUACAGGAAGGGGAGGUGGGAGUUUUCCUGUUGGGGGAGAAGGGGGCGGAGCUCAUUCCUGGCAACAGUGGAAUCGAAGGAAGAUUGAAAUUUGCGGAGCUCCAACUGGGGCUUUUUGUUGAACCAAUAAAUCUUAAUAAAUUAACUUCCAGAGUCGUCUCAUGUGUGGGGGAGAGACCUAAGCCUCACUCUUAUAAUUCGUCUUGAUUACAUGGAUGUAGAAGAGAGGCAUAGGAGGGACGCAGGUGGCGCUGUGGGUUAAACCACAGAGCCUAGGACUUGCUGAUAAGAAGGUCGGUGGUUUGAAUCCCCGUGACGGGGUGAGCUCUCGUUGUUCGUUCCCUGCUCCUGCCAACCUAGCAGUUCAAAAGCACGUCAGAGUGCAAGUAGAUAAAUAGGUACCGCUCUGGCGGGAAGGUAAACGGCAUUUCUGUGUGCUGCUCUGGUUUGCCAGAAGCGGCUUAGUCAUGCUGGCCACAUGACCCGGAAGCUGUCUGCAGACAAACGCCGGCUCCCUUGGCCUAUAGAGCGAGAUGAGCGCACAACCCCAGAGUCCGUCAUGACUGGACCUAAUGGUCAGGGGUCCCUUUACCUUUAUUCUGCCUGGGUUAGACCACACCAGCAAUAUUGUGUCCAGCUCUGGGUGCCACAAUUUAAGAAGGAUGUUGACAAGCUCGAAUGUGUGCAGAGGAGAGCGACCAAGAUGAUCAGGGGUCUGGAGGGUAGGUCAUGAAACAAUAGAUUCAAGUUACAAGAAAGGAGAUUCUGACUAAACAUCAGAAAUAACUUUCUGAUAGUAAGAGUUUUGACUGUGGAACGGACUCCAUCAGAAGGUGGCGGACUCUCCUUCAUUUAAGGUUUUUAAGCAGACGUUGGAUGCUAUCUGUCAUGGCUGCUUUACUUGAGAUUUCUGAAUUGCAAAGAGAUGUGCUAGAUGACCAUUAAGGUCUCUUCCAACUCUCUACAGUGGUACCUCGGGUUACAUAUGCUUCAGGUUACAUACGCUUCAGGUUACAGACUCCGCUAACCCAGAAAUAGUGCUUCAGGUUAAGAACUUUGCUUCAGGAUGAGAACAGAAAUCGUGCUCCGGCGGCGCGGCGGCAACAGGAGGCCCCAUUAGCUAAAGUGGUUCUUCAGGUUAAGAACAGUUUCAGGUUAAGAACGGACCUCCGGAACGAAUUAAGUACUUAACCCGAGAUACCACUGUAAUUCUAUGAUUCUAUGCCAAGGGCUCCAUGACUGUUAUAUCCUCCAUGAAUUUGUCUACUUUUUCCUGCCAGUCCCCAAACCACUGUCCACUGAUUUAAUUGAGUGUCCCCAAUUUUUAAGAUCAUAGGUAAUAGAGAAAUGUUUCCUUUAUUUAAAUUUAGAGAUAGUGGAAAAACUCAUUUGAAAAUGCCUUAUUUUGCAGAGAAUUUGUCGGUUUCCAAUCUGGAAACCUCUGCCCUUAUCAGACUCCCACUUGCAUCGAGCGUCUGCUCAUGUUCAAGCCGUUUAUGCAUUACUGUUAAAAAUAGCUCAAUAAUUUAUAUGUAAAAUUAUAGACAUAUAGUUUUGCAGAAUAUGUGCAUCAGUUUAGAUGGAGUGUAUAUGUGUAUACUGUUGCAUGAAAUACCGUACUUUUUUGUGUAUAAGACGCCCACAUGUAUAUGAUGACCCCUAUUUUUUAAGCCCAAAAUUAAGAGAUAAAUAUUUUAAAUAUUCCAUGUAUAAGACGACCCCCAAUUAUAAACUUUUGUAAAAUGGCAGAAAAGAUAGUCUUAUACAUGGAAAAAUACAGUAUAUUAGAAUGGUUUCAGUUGUGAUUCUCCACUUUUUUUUCUUUUUAGAUAUUACUACUACAGAGGCGUGUCAAUCCUUUCACUCUUAUUGUGUUAGCACUUGUGGAGCCCAUUCUGCACAGGUUGGAACAUGUGAUGGAGGUCUGAUUUGCUGCAGGGCAACUGGGUAAUCUUUCUUAUUUUCCUUCCAUGGCACCCAAGUGAUGCAUACAUUCAGACAAUUCCAUUCAUGGGUGCCGUCUUUUAAUUCAAGGCAGC